rnacentral:rRNA from 1 species
AACGAACGCUGGCGGCAUGCCUAACACAUGCAAGUCGAACGAGACCUUCGGGUCUAGUGGCGCACGGGUGCGUAACGCGUGGGAACCUGCCCUUAGGUUCGGAAUAACUCCCCGAAAGGGGUGCUAAUACCGGAUAAUGUCUUCGGACCAAAGAUCUAUCGCCUUUGGAUGGGCCCGCGUUGGAUUAGCUAGUUGGUAGGGUAAAAGCCUACCAAGGCGACGAUCCAUAGCUGGUCUGAGAGGAUGAUCAACCACACUGGGACUGAGACACGGCCCAGACUCCGACGGGAGGCAGCAGUAGGGAAUAUUAGACGAUGGGCGAAAGCCUAAUCCAGCAAUGCCGCGUAAGAGAUGAAGGCCUUAGGGUUGUAAAGCUCUUUUACCCGGGAUGAUAAUGACGGUACCGGGAGAAUAAGCACCGGCUAACUCCGUG